ensembl:lncRNA
CUCACUAGAAAGUUAUUCGACUCUGAAUCAACUCGAAAUGAAUCAGUCAAACUGAUUCAGACUCUAUAAAAGGACUAUGAGAUGUGAUUAAGAUAUAUAUAUUCCAAUGUUUUGCUUUACAAUUCCAUUGUGUGUGUGUAUGUGUGUAUGUGUGUGCGUGCGCGCGCACGUGUGUUUUUCAGGAGAACGAGAAACUCGGACACAACAGUACAUCCUGACCAUUGGUACUGUGUACACAUCAACAUACACACACGUCUCCAUGCUGGACAUCUCAGGAGCUUUCACACAGUGCUAGGAAUAUCCCGGGACAGAGAAACGCACCUUCUAAGAAAAGAAAUGAUCUUUCGAGGCAGCUUCUUCAUCACUACCUGCUCCGUUUGACUCAAAAAUGUAACGACCGGUUUCAAAAAGUCACGAUGUCUUCAGUUCAUGAGAUUUUACUGUUGAAUUUAAACAGGAAAUGUGAAAUAUUUUUUCCCUUUGUUUCCUCUACUGUCUUUUUGCUGUGAUCUUGAACACAGUUGUAAUUUUUAAA